UACGGAGGGUGCGAGCGUUGUCCGGAAUCACUGGGCGUAAAGGGCGCGUAGGCGGCCUGAUAAGUAGGGGGUGAAAUCUUGCGGCUUAACCGCAAGGCUGCCUUCUAAACUGUCAGGCUAGAGCACAGUAGAGGCAGGUGGAAUUCCAGGUGUAGCGGUGAAAUGCGUAGAUAUCUGGAGGAACACCGGUGGCGAAGGCGGCGUUCUGGACUGCAUCUGACACUGAAAGACGAAAGCCAGGGGAGCAAACGGG
rnacentral:rRNA from 1 species